rnacentral:lncRNA from 1 species
CACUCCUGCCAGGAUCCUUAGCCUGGCCUCACAUGGAAUUGAGUCGACCAACCCCUGGCGGUUUCAGGUGGCCCCAUUGAAGAUGCAAUCAUUUCUCGGCCAGUGUACCCCUUGUCAGUGCCUGCGUGCCCCUUGUGUCAAGUCUAAGAAGGAAUUUGAAGAAGCUGAGCAGGAUCCGGAGCUUGACCGGCUUGAGAUCUAUGCCCUCUAAGCCAAAUUGAGGUUAGAUAAUCAUAACAUGGUACUAGAGAGGUGUUUUGUUGACUGUUGUGAUAGCUCUUGAUGGUCUGGUUAGGGUGAUUUGUGAAGAGGCAGCAUGCACAAGUCUGAAUAAUAUCUGCUUGUGUUAUGUUUGCAGCUUCCAGUCUUCUUUCCACGUACAAGUUCUAUGGAUCCAGUUGUAGUAGCAGCCUGUACGUUAUGUUUUUGUAUGUGCUGGCAUUGAUUAUGAGGUGUACAGGUUUAGUUUAGUGUUGGGCUCCAAUUUUCUUUGGUUUUGAUCGAUGCAGCACCAUGUUGAGUUUAACCCUGCAACUUUUCUUAACUAGAUCAUGCUGGUGUUAAGGCUGGGAAUCACAAUAUCGAUGGCCUCAGCAUGUUUUUAGCAGUUGAAUUAAAGAUACUCUGUCUUGUUGCACAAACUGACGCAGAUCAAUGUUCAGAGGUAAUAUGGUUCUGCCCGUAAUUUUCAUUGACUGUCGGCAUGUUCCGUUUUUAUUCAUUACUCUGUAUAUCACGGCGGUAUGACUAUAGUAAGGAUAUAUGGCUGAUGCAUUUUGAACUUCUCUGUUCCUUUGGACAGAACAGAGCUGAUAAAUUAUCUAUUCUUUUUGGCUUUGGUAGUAUGAACAGAAAGCAGGCAGUAAUAAACCGAUAUGUUGUAGGAGUACUAUUUUGUUAAUGAAACGGGGUCAUUAUUAUUACCCAUUUUAUCCAACAAUAGUGUGCCCUAAAAUUACAGAUCGGUUCAUUCCUCUCAUACCUUUUUUUGAGAGAGUCGGAUUUUGGUGAGCUUUGCCGUGGUUUUCUCCUCUGUUUCUUGGUACAUUUUGUUACUAUAGAACAAUUGGUGUGCUUCUUUUCUUUUAGCUGUACUUGUAGAAAUGCGGAAGCUGGUUAUUUCAUUAUAUUCGAUGCCUAAUUUAUUUUCUGUUACGAGGAGUCAAGUUCAGCAUUUUCUUUUAUCUUCUUCCUUCCGCAUAAUUUUUCACUUACCCACUGAGCAGUGUAGGUCUUGGACCUGAAAUUCUUGUACUAAUUUAGCAGAACCAUUAUUCGAGAAACACUCCAGAAAUGGUUUGUCUUGGGUUUGAAUCAUGUUUUCUCUGAACAAACAGGCGUGACACAUGCAUGGAAAGAUCCCCAAGAAAUGUUGCACGUUUGGGUAUAUAUAAUGUCUCUGAAUACUAUUUUAUGAACAAGAAUUUAGUAAGUAUUUCAAGAGCAAUUUGAAAAAUUUAUAUGUAAAAAGCAUAUAUUACUUUUCGAAAGCUUCAGGGGAGAAAUCUCACAUCUAAGUGUAAAAACACACUAUGAAUUUACAAAAUCCAGGAAAAUUCUUUUGGACCUGAGCUGUACAGAAGAGAAAAUGGCAAAUACUUUUGCCUUUUUAUUCUGCAGCUAUCAAAUGAAUACAUUUUCUAUUAAUAUUUUGUAGAUCCAGAGUGUCCUCCCACAUAUACUGCGAACUAUACGCCACGUUUCCAUAAGGUCCGGCAUUGGCUUGAAGUAUCCGAAG